GGGGUUGUGACUCAGAGGUAGAGUGCUCGCCUAGCAUGAGUGAGGCACUGGGUUCAAUCCUCAGCAUCACCU
rnacentral:tRNA from 1 species